CCCUUAGAUGUCCUGGGCCGCACGCGCGCUACACUGAUGCAUGCAACGAGUUUAUAACCUUGGCCUGAAAGGUCUGGGUAAUCUUUUGAACGUGCAUCGUGAUAGGGAUAGAUUAUUGCAAUUGUUAAUCUUGAACGAGGAAUUCCUAGUAAACGAGAGUCAUCAGCUCGCAUUGAUUACGUCCCUGCCCUUUGUACACACCGCCCGUCGCACCUACCGAUUGAAUGGUUCGGUGAAGAUCUCGGACUUCGAUAUUUAUUCUUUAUUGAGUUUAUAUUGUGGGAAGUUAUCUAAACCUCAUCAUUUAGAGGAAGGUGAAGUCGUAACA
rnacentral:rRNA from 1 species